UUCUGUGCCAUGGAGACCCUCUGAAAUAAACAGAGAAAAAGAAAGAAAGAAGUCAAAGGAAAAAUAAAGAGGGGAAGAGAGAAGGAGAAUUAAGAAGGGAGGAGAAAAAAGAAUAUUGGCAAAGAGGAAACUGACAACAGUAACUAAAGUGAGGAUCAAGACAACUCAGAAAGAAUCAAAUGACACAGGACUAAAUUCCUUAAGGAACUAUUUUUUGCCCAACAUACAUUUGAUGAAAAUGUUUCCCUGUAGAUGGUGCUCACAACCAGUAUCUGAGCUAUGCAGUAUUGAUUAAUUACACAGUUCCCCAAGAAGAACAUUUGCUGCUGAUCACCAAGGAUAGGAUGAAAGCUGUGCCAUAUCCAAACAAAAGCAUGUAUCCAAUUACUGAACUGAUGACAUACCGUGCCGAAAUCCAUAUUUAAGAAAAAUCUAUCCAACAAAGCACUGCAGCCCUGAACAGCUGAAGAGUACCGGUGGUUGGCUACACACUGCUUGACUAUAAUGUGUACUUUCAUAGUGGCAUAGCACAUCACUUUGUCUCACCA